GAAACUUAAAGGAAUUGGCGGGGGAGCACCACAAGGCGUGAAGCUUGCGGUUCAAUUGGAGUCAACGCCGGGAACCUUACCGGGGGCGACAGCAGUAUGAAGGCCAGAUUGAAGGUCUUGCUGGACAAGCUGAGAGGAGGUGCAUGGCCGUCGCCAGUUCGUGCCGUGAGGUGUCCUGUUAAGUCAGGCAACGAUCGAGACCCGCGCCUCUAGUUGCUACUGAGGAAGUUUUCCAAGGGGCACUCUAGAGGGACUGCCGUCGACAAGACGGAGGAAGGAGCGGGCCACGGCAGGUCAGUAUGCCCCGAAUCCCCCGGGCUACACGCGAGCUGCAAUGGCAGAGACAAUGGGUUCCGACCCUGAAAAGGGAAGGCAAUCUCUAAACUCUGCCUCAGUUUGGAUCGAAGGCUGGAACCCGCCUUCGUGAAAAUGGAAUGCCUAGUAAUCGCGCGUCAUCAUCGCGCGGUGAAUACGUCCCCGCUCCUUGCACACACCGCCCGUCGCUCCAUCCGAGUGGGGUUUGGGUGAGGCGCGGUCUUCUUGGCUGCGUCGAAUCUGAGUUCCGCAAGGAGGGAGAAGUCGUAACAA
rnacentral:rRNA from 1 species